rnacentral:rRNA from 1 species
GACGAACGCUGGCGGCGUGCCUAACACAUGCAAGUCGAACGGGGAUUUGCGGAAACGCAAGUUUAAGUAAAUCCUAGUGGCGGACGGGUGAGUAACGCGUGAGCAACCUACCAAGGAGAGGGGGAUAACACAGAGAAAUCUGUGCUAAUACCGCAUAAGGUCACGAUUCCGCAUGGGGUUGUGAUAAAAGGGCUCAGCCCGCUUCUUGAUGGGCUCGCGUCUGAUUAGCUAGUUGGUAGGGUAAAGGCCUACCAAGGCGAUGAUCAGUAGCCGGACUGAGAGGUUGUACGGCCACAUUGGGACUGAGACACGGCCCAGACUCCUACGGGAGGCAGCAGUGGGGAAUAUUGCGCAAUGGGGGGAACCCUGACGCAGCGACGCCGCGUGAAGGAAGAAGGUCUUCGGAUUGUAAACUUUUGUCUUUGGUGACGAUAAUGACGGUAGCCAGAGAGGAAGCCACGGCUAACUACGUGCC